rnacentral:misc_RNA from 1 species
ACAUUUCAGUGACAUCAGAUAUGGCAUUAAAAGCAGCAUUGAAAUUUCUCGAAAGAACGCACCUACUUCAAGGGAACAGCCAACCACUCACUCUUCCUCGGGAAGCUCGAGCUACUAGAGGUCUGUCUGUAGGCCAUGGUAAUCCACACUGCCAAUCCACACUGAGUCUAUUGGGAUAUGUGGAACCCCAUCAACCCUACUGUUUCUUCUCAGUCUGUGGCAAAACUCCCAGCUUUGACUGAAGGUUCAUCUCUGAUUGAAAGCUUCCCAUUCCUGCCUGAUCUUGGGCUCUUGAGAAGCAACUUGUCCUACCCUGAUCUGCAUAGAACAAGUCCUCAGCCAGUUUUACCAGGUUCUUCUAUAAAUCGUGAUGCAACACUUAUUAGUCUGGCAGAUAAUACAGCAAUGAAAGAUUAAGAAAAGCAAAACAUCCUUGCCUUUUCAUCACAUGACUUUAAACCAGACUAACUGAAGACUAACAAUAAAAACAACCUCAUUGGAAAAUUACGUAAACAGAAAAUUAUGUUAACUUUUUUCUGAAGGUUAUUUAAUGCUUGCAUUGUCUAAUUGAAUGAUGAAUCAGUAAUUUCACUUGCUCCAUGUUUAUAUAUUAAAACCAGGUAAUACAUCUCUCAUUAUAUUCCAUUUCAUGUUUUAGUGCACAGACAAAAUAAAAUUCUUUAAUUUUACUUUAUACAUUGUAAUCUUACUUUUUCAGGUACCUGUGAUUUGUAAUGCAAUAAUCUAUUUCUUGGUUACCAACGUUAAUAAAAAUGGUAAAGAUACCAUAUUUUCCUUUUAUGUUGUGUAUUCCAAGAAUGUAACUAUAUAUAUACACACACAUCAAUUAUAUCUGAGAAGGUAAUGAAUAAUCUUUUAUCAAGAAUGGUUUAUUCAAGAUUGUCCUGACAAUGGAAGGCUUUUGUGAGACCUUAUCAAUCCCCAUGUAUGAACAAAUUUUGGAAAGUACAUCUGUUCAAAAUAUUUGGCAGUUGCAAAAUAUAACCAAAAAGUAUCCUGAUACUAAUUUUCUAUAUCAUGAUUUAAUUAUAACUGAAGAGCAUGUAAAAGACUAAAGAAUACUAUGCUGAAAAAUUCAAGUAAAUAAUCAGAAAUUUUAAAAUGUGAAAAUAUGCUAUCUGGUCUGUUCCUUCCCUGUCUUAUGCACAACUGCCACUCCCUGUGACAGCUACCACAUCCAAAAAGGUCAAAACACAUUUCAGGUGUGAUGUGCUGAAUCUGUGGGAUUUGUCCAAAUUACAUAAACAUGUAUGCUUAGUAUAUAAUACUUAAAUACUCUGUAACUUAUAUAAUAACAAUUUACUAAGAAUGGAAAGAAGGUAAUGCAUACCAUGAUAUGAACAUCAAGACAAGUAUUAUAUAAAUUCUUAUUCCUCUCGAAUGUUCUAGUGGCAUGGAGUGGUGAUCUAUGCUGGUUCCUCAG